rnacentral:rRNA from 1 species
GAUGAACGCUGGCGGCGUGCUUAACACAUGCAAGUCGAACGGAAAGGCCGAAGCUUGCUUCGGUACUCGAGUGGCGAACGGGUGAGUAACACGUGGGUGAUCUGCCCUGUACUUCGGGAUAAGCUUGGGAAUCUGGGUCUAAUACCGGAUAUGACGAUCUCUUGGAUGGGGUUGUGGAAAGCUUUUGCGGUAUGGGAUGAGCUCGCGGCCUAUCAGCUUGUUGGUGGGGUAAUGGCCUACCAAGGCGUCGACGGGUAGCCGGCCUGAGAGGGUGUACGGCCACAUUGGGACUGAGAUACGGCCCAGACUCCUACGGGAGGCAGUAGUGGGGAAUAUUGCACAAUGGGCGCAAGCCUGAUGCAGCGACGCCGCGUGGGGGAUGACGGCCUUCGGGUUGUAAACUCCUUUCGCAAUCGACGAAGCCUUUUGGUGACGGUAGGUUGAGAAGAAGCACCGGCUAACUACGUG